UCGAAUGGGUUAAGGAAAUGGUAGCCAGCCAUCGCGGGGAAGAUCUUGUUGAUCCCUUGAUUGCAGUUCAGCCCCCUCCUAGAGCUCUGAAGAGGGUUUUGCUGAUCUGUCUGCGCUGUAUCGACUUAGAGGCCACCAAACGACCGAAGAUGGGGCAAAUUGUUCACAUGCUCGAGACAGAGGAUUUCGCUUUCCGCACUGAACACCGGCCAGCUCGAGAGAAAGAUCCACUUCUAUCGAGGGGGGUCGCUUCGCAUGACAUUCAUCCGGAUAGAUCGAGGUGGCGAUAACGCAUGUUGCUGGACUCGCGGGUUCACCGUCUUGCGGCCUAAGUCAAUUCAUACAAGAAACAGAUUCUUGGAUAACUUUAAUGGGUAUACAACACAUAUCUUGUGUCUCUUGUCUUGCUUCUAAUGUAUUAUUUCACCUGUAAAUGCUGGAAAUUUCUCCCGUUUUAGUUCGAUAAAAGCCGUGUAAAUUUGUCGGCUCGACGGACAGACUUAAGUGGAGAGGAGUGUCUCACAUUUUAUUGCAGUGAUUCUUAACAUACUGGGAA